rnacentral:rRNA from 1 species
AUUGAACGCUGGCGGCAUGCCUAACACAUGCAAGUCGAACGAGUGGCGGACGGGUGAGUAAUGUCUGGGAAACUGCCUGAUGGAGGGGGAUAACUACUGGAAACGGUAGCUAAUACCGCAUACCAUCGGAUGUGCCCAGAUGGGAUUAGCUAGUAGGUGGGGUAAAGGCUCACCUAGGCGACGAUCCCUAGCUGGGCUGAUAGCAUGACCAGCGACACGGGAACUGAGACACGGUCCAGACUCCUACGAGAGGUAGCAGUGGGAAAUAUUGCACAAUGGGCGCAAGCCUGAUGCAGCCACGCCGCGAGAAUGAAGAAGGCCUUCGGGUUGUAAAGUACUUUCAGCGGGGAGGCGUUACCCGCAGAAGAAGCACCGGCUAACUCCGUGCCAGCAGCCGCGGUAAUUC